AUUCAGCUGACCCAGAUCCUCUGCAGGAUUUCUGUGUUGCUGACUUAAAAGCCUCUGCAUCGUUAAAUGGCUUCCCUUGCAAACCUGCAGAAGAAGUAACUUCUAAUGAUUUUUUCUUUGAUGGUUUGAGCNNNNNNNNGGCAACACAACAAACAUCUUUGGUUGGUCUGUGACUGCAGCUAAUGUUCUUUCAUUUCCUGGCCUCAAUACUCUAGGAAUUUCGAUGAACCGAGUAGACUUUGCUCCCGGA
rnacentral:misc_RNA from 1 species